GGGAAACCUCGUCGCGGAAGGUUUUCCACUUUCUGUCUAUAUUUUCUGAAAAAUAUCCACAUUUUGCAUCGCAGUUUCGGCGUAUUUUUACAUUAGUUCGUACGUGUAAUCACUGUGUGUGUUCAUGGGGUUUAAUUUUACGUAGAAAGGGUGUUUUUUGUCGGGAAAGGUGUGACUAAAAAUAGAUCACUGCCCGAUAUACUCGUAGGGAAAUCUAGUGAGAGCUUUCCAUUCAUAAAUUACAUUCAUUUGGUGUCGGGCAGUGAAGUAAUACAGUUGGGAGAAGCGAUUUAACUGGUGAAUGACUAUAUCGUUCGGUGAUAAGAUUGGAGUGCUAAAAAGGAUCGAUAACCGGGCCACUGCCUGUCGACUGUGAAGAACUCGCGCCGGACACAAGAGAAAAAUGGCGACGGAAGGCGGACUGGCGCCCGGCGGCGAUGGGGACAUGCCGGUGGGCGGGCCCAAGACGCCGCAGCAGAUCGCCGCGCAGCGUCGCUUGCAGCAGACGCAGGCGCAGGUCGAUGAGGUGGUGGACAUAAUGAAGACGAACGUGGAGAAAGUGCUUGAGCGGGAUCAGAAACUCUCAGAACUUGAUGACCGAGCAGAUGCACUGCAACAGGGAGCAUCACAGUUUGAACAGCAGGCUGGCAAACUCAAAAGCAAAUUCUGGUUGCAAAAUCUAAAGAUGAUGAUAAUCGCAGCUGUUAUUGGAAUCAUCAUCCUGGCUCUAAUCAUCGCCAACUUUGUGUGAACAAGUUUCGGUCUGUAAACCAUCUGUAUGGAGGAUUGAGGCAGAGGUAUGGAUUAAGUACAGGAGACAUAAACAUCCCAUCUGCCGAGGCAUCAGCAAAGAACUUUGAAACUUUUGUUUUUAUUUUCCUAGUAAUUAGUGUUGUUAUUAAAUAUCCUCUGGAUAAUAUCACCAAAAUAUAUCCGAUGUUUUGCCUACUAAAUAUCAACUAUUUAUCCUAUCAAAACUUUUUGUAAAAUUUCGAAAUCACGCGUCUUUGACAUGAUUUCUUUUAUAUCACUAACAAAUGCUCUGUUUACUACGAAAUAUAGUAUUUUUAGAUGAUCUUUCUUUGUUAUAAAUUUUACCACAGAAAUUAAUAUUUGCUAUUAGAUAAGACUUAUCAAAAAUACAGUAAUAUCAUGAAUAUUUUCUUACUUUUUCGAAAAUAGGCUGUUAUUAAUGCAAUGGUAUUGAUUUCCAUUUGGACCAAAUUUCUUGAGUACCUAUUUAUUUUGAGUCGUUUCUUUUUGUACUUUUUUUAAACGUUAAAAUUGUUAACCUUUGAUAUUAUCUACUGUCUACCUAUACAAAUAUGUUUAUCUGCUUGUAAAUCCUACCACUUUAUAGGUGUUAUAUGAAUAGAUAUUUACACUUUAAUAAAUAUCGGUCCAUUUAUGAAAUGGGCGAACGCUUGGGCUGAUUCUGUAUUCAAAGUUCCGAGUAAUGACAAGUUACUGUAUUGUUCUGUUACAUAGCGUGUAUCGGGCCCAUGGUAGCACCACACUACGGUAUAGUGAAUUAUUUACCUACUAUGUUUUAAUCGCUUAUAUAGCUGUAAUCUAUAACCGUGAUCUCUAUUUGAAACGAAAAUUUGUACUUAAUCAAAUUGUUGUUUGUUUAAGUAAAAUUAAAUUAGAGUUAUAUUAAGGACUUGUGCUAUCUUGCGUUUUUACAUAAACUAUAAUCGUAACUGGCCAAUAUUUUUAAAAAUAUAUAAUCUAUCCUGUGUAACUACAACAAAUAAUGCAUUAAAUAUCUUUUUACUGUGUGUGUAUUAAUGUAUGUAAAAACAGCUUUGUAGUUAGAAAUUGUAAAAAUUCACACUAGGUAAUUAGAUGUUUCAAAUAAAUAGCCACUCAUUAGUAAUAUUAAUCGUGGCAAGACUACUGUUGGUCGUUAACGGCUUACUGCGCCACACAUUCAAUUAUGAAAAAAACCUUUUCAAGCACUGCAAACUGCAAUGCACUAUCGCAUUGCCAUCGAUUUUAAUAACCACAUAAGUACUCCAUACAAACACAAUUAAUGCUAGUACGACCAAACGUAGUCCUGCCUUACAUUUACGAUAUAGAAUAGUAUUGGGAAAUUGGCCAGUACUACAUAAAUAUAGGGGGAUGGGAUUUACAUUAUCAUACGGAAAUCGGUUCUCUACAUAGGUAAAUAUUCAUAUCAUGUACGGAGACCGAUUUUUAAUAAAAAAGUACGUAAGUUGCACAUCGUCAUUGUUGACAGUCUCAUUAGGGGGAGAAAAUUAGAUCGUAAUUUUUAAGUAUGACGCCACGGUUUUGAAACACAAUAUUUUUGAAAUUGGAAAACGGUUAACACGCGGGAGUUUUUAGAUAUUUUCUUGCCAGUAUCUUGAAAGUUUUGCAGCCUUUUUUAAUACCAACACCAUCAUCUUCAAUGUAGUCUAAGCUCCAUGUUUCUACCAUUUCAUAAGAAAGCCUAAAAUGCAUAGACUUUUAAAAUAAUGUAAAUAAUUUUCUCAAGACACAAGCUGCAAAAUGAUGCUCUCUAAAACCAUCAUCGGAGAGACUUGUCACCAUUCAAAGAGCAAAGUCCAAGAAAAUUGGUAAAGUUUUGGGUAAGUCAAUAUCCCUACUCAAAAAAAGGUCAAGAGUAAAGUUUGCCUUUUACAAACAUAGGUUAAACUUUAUGGUAUUGUGUUUCAAGAACGAUGGCACCCAACAUUCACUGUAAGGUAAAAUGAUAACACACCAGAAGUAUGUUAUGGGAUUAGAUAAUAAAUUGGCUGUUACUUAUAGCGUUGUUUACAUUAUGACGUCAGAGCGUCACUAGUUACCGUCGCUGCGCUAUAUAUUUUAAACAACAUUGUAGGUAAGCCAUAGCUAUAAGCAUUGUGGUCAUAAAAUAUAAUAAUUAAAUGAAAUAAAAAUGUUGUAACUGA
rnacentral:misc_RNA from 1 species